GGGCCUGGCGGGAGCGUUCGGAACCCCGGGAAGCAGAAAGGAGUGCUCCGCGUUUCCCGCGCGGGUUCUCCCGCCUCGGCUCUGAGCGGACUGGAGGGGGAGCUGUUGCUGCUGUGGAAAGAAUGCAUUAGGGAAAGACCAGCAUAGAAGCAGGAGACCAGUUGGGAGGCUGAUGCAGUGGUCCAGGCUUUGUGUAAGGUGCUGUGGUUACCAAGGUGAAUACCCCUAUCUGGUAGGGAAGGUGGAUGUGAACAUACGCAAAGACCGUGUGCGGCGGGGUCAGCGCUGUGACAGAGGCUGUUUUUUGGUGAGGAAGAUUGGCCCUAAGCUAACAUCUUUUCCAAUCUUCCUGUU